GAUGAAGAACGAGCGAAACGCGAUAAGUAAUGUGAAUUGCAGAAUCCAGUGAAUCAUCGAAUCUUUGAACGCACAUUGCGCCCGCCAGCAUUCUGGCGGGCAUGCCUGUUCGAGCGUCAUUUCAACCCUCGACCUCCCCUUGGGGAGGUCGGCGUUGGGGACCGGCAGCACACCGCCGGCCCUGAAAUGGAGUGGCGGCCCGUCCGCGGCGACCUCUGCGCAGUAAUACAGCUCGCACCGGGACCCCGACGCGGCCACGCCGUAAAACACCCAACUUCUGAACGUUGACCUCGAAUCAGGUAGGACUACCCGCUGAACUUAAGCAUAUCAAUAAGCGGAGGA
rnacentral:misc_RNA from 1 species